GUCGAAGGUGAGGCCCACACAUGUGGUUCAUAAACCAUAGGUCUUUGUUCAGCCUGGUGGGGCAUAACAGACACUGGAGGGAACCAGGCCAGAACAGAAAGGAGGUGUGCCCCAAACCUCUUCUACAUGCCAUACACCUCCAGCAACCUGAGAACAAGCUAUGUCAACAUCCUCCCAUGAAGAGAGGGAGGCUUGAUUUCAUUGGUCUGCAGCACCAGUGGCUGGGCAAUGGAGCCAGCCCCUUAUUCACCUGGGCAUGAAGAGGAAUCCAUCCUGCUCCACAGUCCACAGAAGGAAACCAACUGUGAAUGUCCUGUGAAGCUGGACCUCAGCUAAUGUGAACAACAACAUUCCUCCUUGGAUCAGGUUUCAAAGGGAAGCCAUACUGUGCAGGUAAUAUAGGCACCCUGCACAUCUGUGAGUUGUGACCUGAUAGAGGAAGUCUGAAUAUUACAUUCAAGUCUGGCAAGCUGAGUUUCUCAAGGUGACAGAGACAAGAGGAUUCUGAGCAUCCUGGAGCUUGAUCCUUCUUCAUGUCUGCAACAGUUUGUGUCUACACUGAUGCUUUUAAAGCAGCUUCAGCGCACAUUAUCUUUUAGCUUUCAUUCGAUUACUCUAAGUGAUCAUAAAAUGUAAUAAAACAGACAAC